UCUCUCUCUCUACCUCUCCCCGCUUAAACCCUGCAACUUUACUGCCUAUACCCUUGCCAGAUAAGGGGUGGAUCUACAUCCAGGACAGGAUUGCCCUGCCAGGCAAUCUGGUGCACACCUUGAUUAAUGACAUCCACCAAUCCCUCCAUAGUGGCCCAUAGGCUCUCCACUAAUUUCUUCAGCCAUUGUUCUAUCAUCCUUCCUUAUCUAAGGUAAUCGAAGUUGUCCACAGGGCUUGCAAAACCUGUUCUGCCGUGAAUUCACAAGGAGGAAUCCAGGGCCUAACCAACAGCUCUGAGGUCAUCAGCCGGGGGAAGACUGACACCUGGACUUCACUCCCAUGCCUCGCCAUAAAAUACAUUCACAGGCUGGAUCGAAGCCUACCUCAUGGCCUGGGAAACAGCGGACAUAGUGGCUACAAUACUCAUCGAGCGCAUCAUCCUGAGGUUCGGAUUGCCCCGGACCCUCCAGUCGGACAACGGACCUGCCUUCAUCUCCAGUGUAACCCAACAGGGUCGCCUACAAGAACUUGCCUGAGUAUCUGUCAAUCAACUCCUCCUCCAGCCCUACUCUCGCCUGCCCACUUUCGACUACCCCCAUGACGACGCCCCCUGUCAGCAGGAAGUAGCCAGAACCCAGUCGACGCCCCUGACAACAUUAUAUUAAGCAAAAGGUCGGAAUGUUGGGCUGGCAGGAAGGGCUACUAAAGAUGGCGAAAGUUCCCUCCACAAGACCUGAGCUCGGACAGGAGAACAAAGGCCCAAGCAGGAAUCUGAGACCCCCGCCCCGGGCUCCCGUGGACCAAUGGGAUCCUGAUGAGCAGGCGGGAUAUCCAAAUAAGGGAAACUUCCAAAAGACCCCUGAGCUUCCUCCGAGACCCCUUAAAAGCCCCCUCCUCCCUGCCUUGGGGGCGACUUCCGCCACUCUGCUUUCCAGAGUGGCGGAACCUCGCCCGAGGGUGCCCACCUCCUCCCGGCGCAACUUUCCUGGCUCCCCUUCUCCUGAGCCCUGAAACUUCGCCGGAGAGCGUUUUUAAUAAAUCUUGCCUUGCACCCA